rnacentral:lncRNA from 1 species
AAGACACCUCCCCAUAACAGAUUUGGAUCAACCAAAAGGAAGAGAAAGAGGGGGCUUGCAGAUGAGAAAACCAAGACCAAGCCCGGAUCGCACACGCGGUGAGAGGCCACACUGGAACAAGCGCUAACGGCAGAGAACUGUCCCCAGCGCUCACUGUGUGUCAGGUGCCAAGCGCUCCAUCGUCUGCAGCCUCCUCUUACUGACCAGCUCUCAUCCACUCCUCUCAACCCCGGGCAGCUGACGACACGAGCACUCGGAGCCCAGGCCCCAGUGGCUCUUACCCCUUCGUUACAGUUAUUGAAGGUAAUACACGGUGCGGUACAGCCCAGCCCCCCAACCCAGCCCGGUCCAACAGGCUAGGAAUCUCAAGGCCUCUAACUGGUCUGGGGCGGGAUGAGCAGGGGCCCUCGGCGGGGGAGACUAUUUAGGUGGAAAGUGGUGGAAAGGCCCCUCUUGCUCUCCCACCACAUUCUCUCCUCUCCCGCCAGGUCACCCUGCCCUCCUCAUACUCCGGUUCCUUCCCCAUCAUCCUUUCUUCCCUGAUAUUCCCUACCCCUCCCUCCCCCCCAAUCCCUCCCUCCCUGCACACACACCCUGCCCUUUCCCCUACGUCUCCCGUCCCGUCCCGUCCCCCUACAUUCUUCUCCCGCCUCCAUCCCACAACGCCCCUCCCCGCGCCCCCC